rnacentral:rRNA from 1 species
UGAGGAAUAUUGGUCAAUGGGCGGGAGCCUGAACCAGCCAAGUCGCGUGAAGGAAGAAGGAUCUAUGGUUCGUAAACUUCUUUUGCAGGGGAAUAAAGUGCAGGACGUGUCCUGUUUUGUAUGUACCCUGAGAAUAAGGAUCGGCUAACUCCGUGCCAGCAGCCGCGGUAAUACGGAGGAUCCGAGCGUUAUCCGGAUUUAUUGGGUUUAAAGGGUGCGUAGGUGGUUUGAUAAGUCAGCGGUGAAAGUUUGCAGCUUAACUGUAAAAAUGCCGUUGAAACUGUCGGACUUGAGUGUAAAUGAGGUAGGCGGAAUGCGUGGUGUAGCGGUGAAAUGCAUAGAUAUCACGUAGAACUCCGAUUGCGAAGGCAGCUUACUAAGCUACAACUGACACUGAAGCACGAAAGCGUGGGGAUCAAACA